rnacentral:rRNA from 1 species
AGUGAACGCUGGCGGUAGGCCUAACACAUGCAAGUCGAACGGCAGCACAGUAAGAGCUUGCUCUUACGGGUGGCGAGUGGCGGACGGGUGAGGAAUACAUCGGAAUCUACUUUUUCGUGGGGGAUAACGUAGGGAAACUUACGCUAAUACCGCAUACGACCUACGGGUGAAAGCAGGGGAUCUUCGGACCUUGCGCGAUUGAAUGAGCCGAUGUCGGAUUAGCUAGUUGGCGGGGUAAAGGCCCACCAAGGCGACGAUCCGUAGCUGGUCUGAGAGGAUGAUCAGCCACACUGGAACUGAGACACGGUCCAGACUCCUACGGGAGGCAGCAGUGGGGAAUAUUGGACAAUGGGCGCAAGCCUGAUCCAGCCAUACCGCGUGGGUGAAGAAGGCCUUCGGGUUGUAAAGCCCUUUUGUUGGGAAAGAAAAGCAGUCGGUUAAUACCCCGCUGUUCUGACGGUACCCAAAGAAUAAGCACCGGCUAACUUCGUG